UCUGACAGCCCCCGACGUGCUCACGGGUGGGCCGGUCCCCCCAGUGACGGUGCCAUUCGCGUACAGAGCGCGUCCGCUUGGCCCACAGUAACUGGUUACCUGGUAGGUGUUUCUGAAGACAUCUGGUAUCCCAUCCGUGAAGAUGAUGUCCCACAGGAGGAGGCCACAGAGUGUGCUAAAGGUGGACCCUUCCCCGUGAAUACCUAAGACAGCCACACAGGAAAGCUCAACAAACAGAGAGGUGAGGCCGCACCACACCUGUCUCCGAGAAAGGAAACUGCUCUUUCCUCUGGAAGCACUUUAGGUCCCCAGAAGCUCAUCCAGUGGAUCUUCUUGAGAUUCAUGGACCUAGAGUAACAUCUGCUUGCAUUUCUACUGGAAGAACAUAUCUACCAUGUUUCCCACAACCCACAUCUCCCCCAAAUCUACAUUCGGCCAGCAAUACUAAGAGAAGCCACACAACAACACACUACUACACCAGAUGGCAAGAUAGAAGCUUCAUCAAAGAGCAUCUGAUCAUCUUCAUUCUCAAACACGGCUUUCAGCACCAUGAGGAAACUCUGAAGAUAGUAAGGAUGACUCGGCCGUGCUGGAAUUGUUUCAGCGGGAACAUUAGCGCCUGAUCCUUGCUCCAAAGGAAUCUUGCCAAUGAUUUCACUCCUGAAGCCACCAUUAUCUUCCAGAGGAAGUUCUUGGAGGCUAGUCAAGUUAGAACCAGCAUGUGCAGACCCAGGAGAUCCUGUCUCCUGAUGUGAUGACUGUCCUGUAACUUCUGAACCAACUGUCAUCUUUACCUCUUCACAACUUGCUACCUCGUAUUUUUCAACACCUUUUCUAUCUACUUUGAUAUUCUCCUUUGCAAAACUGUUCUCUAAAGCAGACUUUAAUUUAUUCCCAGGAGUUAAAUCUGGUGAAUAUAACAUGGUAGCAGUAUCUGAAAGGGCGGGAGUGAAGGCUGAUUGCCCACGUUCCUGGGGGGCCUUUAAGCUUCCAGCUUCCACUAUUUGAGUGCAUUCCACAGCAUUCUGUUCUUUAAAAUCACAAGUAAACAUAUUUUCCUUUUGAGAACUAUUCUCAAAAACUGGAUCCUUGUCCUCAAUCUCUGUACAGUUAUCUACCAGGCUCCUGACUGCAGUGGAUGAGGAACUCGGUGGACUAUGAUUGACAAAUUCCUCAUUCUUAUUCAUUGAUCUUUUAGCCUUUAUGUAUCUUCUGGACAAUUUAGAUGACAGACUUCCCAAAGGAAUGACUUUCACAUUGCGAUAUGACAGUUCAUCUUGAUUUUUGUGCACCAAAUCAUCCUUACUUUUAAAGUAGGGGCUUGUCUGCUGUUUUAUGCCAAUUUUUGUUGACUCACUUUGGUAAGGGGUUAAAUUGGUCUUAGGUGAUAACAAUUUCUCUGGGGUAACAUUUUCUACCGUAACACUGGUUAAAUUCAUUGUGGAUACAUUUGAUUUCUUUAAGCCAGUAUGCCCCGAACCAGCAGGAGCGAUGUCACCAUUGUUAGCACACACUUCAUCGAGGUGCUGAUUUAAUUCAUAUCUUGGCACCAUUUUACUACAGAUGGGGCAUGCAAGUUUUGCAGGGGGUGCAUUGUUAAAAAAUGAAAUAAUUGAGUUAGAUUCAUUUUUUUUAGCCUUGCUAGUUGAUAAACUUCUAC